rnacentral:rRNA from 1 species
CAGCAGCCGCGGUAAUACGGAGGGCGCGAGCGUUACCCGGAUUUACUGGGCGUAAAGGGCGUGUAGGCGGCCUGGGGCGUCCCAUGUGAAAGGCCACGGCUCAACCGUGGAGGAGCGUGAGAUACGCUCAGGCUAGAGGGUGGGAGAGGGUGGUGGAAUUCCCGGAGUAGCGGUGAAAUGCGCAGAUACCGGGAGGAACGCCGAUGGCGAAGGCAGCCACCUGGUCCACUUCUGACGCUGAGGCGCGAAAGCGUGGGGAGCAAACCGGAUUAGAUACCCCAGUAGUCCCUGUCUCUUAUAA